rnacentral:lncRNA from 10 species
AAGGAAGGAAGCUAAGCAAUAUAACCCUGUGGCAACAUUUGUAAAAGUGACUCUGAGAAGACAGAAAGAUCCUCUAUGAGAGACUGGUGUCCCCAGGAAUUGGCGAGGCCUGCUGAGGAUCAUUUGGGUAAAUGUCAUGGUCACGCGGCCCCAUUCUCUUCGCUGAGCUCCGGAUUUCCGUAGCCAAUUGUCUGCUGGACAUUCCUCCCUGAUACAUCUCACAGGAAACUGACUUUUCUCAAAAAUGAACUCUCCCUACCAAUCUGCACCAUGAAAUUAUUUCAGCAAACAAAAAAUAAUGGUUGCCCAUCACCGCACACUGCGUGUGACUCAGCCAUCACUCACAGGCAAAGAAGGGUGUUCUCUCCUCUCCCUGUCAGUUACUAAUUCUCUGUAAAUGACCAUUUGACAUCCUGGCCGGGGAGGAUUCAGAUCAGAGAUGACUUCCCCACUGCCACAAAGUAUGGUUCUGGGAAGGACAACCAGCCCCAAGGCCACGAAGAUUCUGAAAAAGUUUCUUCUCAUUUGAAGUCCAGUAUUUCCUCGGCCCCAUUUUUCUGUUAAACAAUCCUUUUCCCUUGGAGAUUGCUAAAGCUUAGCUCCAGGGCCAGCCUAAGCUCCAGCAGAACUGGGAGCGUCUCCUGUGUCUACAUAGCUCCCUUCCCUCCUGCCUUCCUACUAUCAAAGGAGAAACAGCGUGUAAUUUGAUUUUUUCCCCUUCUCCUCACUUGCCAUACUGUGUUCUUUGCCUGGGCCUGUGCCUCUCCUUGCAGAGGCUGUGGACAGGAGCACCGAGAGCCACUUCCUGGAGCAUGCUCCCCACCCCCGCAGCCUGUGGCUUCAGCCUCUGCUUCUGCAGACAGCGGUGGAGGAAGUCAGGACUGUCCCUUCUGACCUGAACACCUACCUCCAAGUCCUCCCUGUCGCCACAGAGACCCGGCAAUGCAAGUGAGUCCUGUUUGACCUCGUCAAUCAUCGCAGACUGUAAAGGUGACUCGGAUGCUCAAGAAACGAGCAUACCCAGCAGUGGGCCCCAGACUUCUCGCAGGCCCAGGUCCUCCUGGGUGCACAGAGACCUACCAGACAACGGUCCGGCUGCACUGGUGUUGUGAGAUGCCUGUGUCAGAAGACACUGAGUUCCUCACUCGCCUCCUAUCAUGCCGAUGAUCACAGGAGAAAGAGCAGGGCACAUGCAUGCCAGCAUGCUGAAGGGAGGCCAAAACCCAUGCUUGAAAACCACAGGUCCUGUUCUAGGAGCAGGAGAUAUAUUUAGCCAAGCAGGAUGUUUGUGGGUAAACCAACAUUUUGCUGUAAAUAAAAUUCUGCAAACUCGGGACUUUGAGAAUUGCAGAAGCUUACUUUGCCUGCGUAUUGGCAAGAGAGCUAUUUUCCUAACACAAGCUCACCAUGACCCUCAUUCAGAGAUGCGCUUGACGCCGAGGGUGGUGCCUUUUCGCUAAGGGGUGCUGUCAGGGGAUUGAGUAGGAGCCUGAAGAGCUAGGAGUAUCUUCUCCCUGGGCAGACCAGCAGGCAGACCCUGUCCCUUCACACUACAGUGGCACGUGAUGGGCCCCACUGCCCACCUGGUUCUGGUGUCCAGGCUGAAGUCCUCGUGUGACACUCCAAACUGUUCUGGCAAGGAAGGCUCACGGGUUCUGACCUACACUCUGAAACUGACCAGUAGUGAUAAACUCCGCAUGGACUUCAGCCAUCAUUGCGUACGUAAGAAAUACGUGUUGCACACAGAGUGCUUCUCUACAUUCCCAGGUUUGCCACUCCCCGACUUUUGCUGAAGCAGGUUUCUACUCCAUCAGUCCCACAGAUGUGUUCACAGGGCCAGCACUGAGUGUGGUGCUGGGGAAGGCAUGUGCUUGGAGGCAGCCCUGUGAGAUGGCACAGCCUAGGGGAGGAGUCGUGGUGGGGAAGACCCUGGCCACGCAUGAUAGAGGAAGCGUGGCCACACAGUCUUUGCUGUCCCUGCCACAGCAUGGUGCUGUAAGUCUCCUCCUUCCGAGUCUGUGCAGACUUAUGUGACACAUUUGACCCAACAGAAAUGCAGCAUUUGUGGUGUGUGAAAGUUCCAGACCAGGCCACAGCGAGCUCCGUGGCUUCGGCUGUGUCUCCUGGAGCACUUGCUCUCAGGACCCCCUCUCUCAGAGCCCAGGCACCACGCCGUGAGAGAGCCCCAGCCACAGAGACAGGCUACGUGUAGGUGCUUUCAUCAAAGUGCCACCUGUGCCUCCCCGCAGCAGUGUCAGGCCACCAGCUUGGACAGGCAGCUCCAGCCUCCAGUGGAGGCUUCAGAGGACAGCAUCAAACAGCAUCCACAAAGGAGACCCACCUUGUGAAAAGCGCCUAGCCAAGCCCUGCCCAAAUCCCUGGCCUGUGCAAUUGUGAGCAAAGCAAUUCAAUUUGGAGUGGUUUUAUGCUGCAGUAGGUGACCAAAGCACUAUGGAAGUGAAUAUCAGGAGCCCCUCACUGGGAUGUCAGAAGACAUUCAAGGAAGGUUUCCUGGAAGAUUUAGUACCUCAGGUGGUACAGGAGAAGGUGAGAUGGAGAGAAAGCAACCCCAGUCUGAAGACGCAGUGGUAAGAAAGGGUCAUUCCCCUGGGCAUGUGUGGUCUGCUGGGGGAUGACAGCCGAGGUGAACUUGAAGCAGAGGACACUCAGACAAGCUGCACUCUGAAUCCCGCUACGCUGACCGCAGCACUUGCUGAAGAAGCCGCCUCGCCACGCCCAAGCCCUGCAGAGGGAAGGACUGAGGAAGGCAGCUCAGAGGCCUCAGGCAGCCACAGUGUGCAUGCUUGUCUAUGACUCACAGCUACGACGUGGCCUGUGCUGCUGCAGCUGCUGAUAAGCCUCAAACCUCAUAUACCACUCUCUUCCGAGGAUUUUUUAAAUACACAAAACUGGGAGUGAGAGGGGUAUUUAAUUCCCCUACUAACACAUGUUGGGCGCAGCUGGAGCAGCCAGGCCCACUGUAGCUGGGAAGAUGCGGUGCCUUGAGGUGCAGGCACUGCUCACUGCCACAUGUGAGCACAGGUUCUGAGGGUGAAAGGUCCCUGGUAUCUGGCCAGAGUGUUAGACUCUGGAACAUAAGAAGCCCCCGAGGUGGUGGAGAAGGUCUAGCCAGGCUCCAGACUGGCUUCACAGAGGAUUUUUAUGUGUAUGGUCAUUUCAAGUGAAUUUUGUAUACAGAGCAAGGCGAUUACUUUAAAACAUGAAAGAAAUUGCACCUUUUCCUUAAGGGCAAGAUGGUGCUGUGGGCUUUCCUCUCUCCUGAUGAGAUGAUGCAAAUGGACUCCAUAGAGAAACGCUGCCCGUGUAACAAUGCAGUUACGCAACCCGGUGCAUGACACAUGAAUUGCAGCGCACCUGAGAUCCUGAUGAAAUCCUGGGAGCCUGGAGCUGUCAAACAUGGUUUUAAAAAAUAAAGGGAAUACACCCAGCCCACACCCUGACUUUACAACCUUUAAUUAAUUAGAGGAAAGAAAGAGAGAUUUGUCUGGUUUCAUGACUUCAACUUUCCACCUGGAAUAUGAAGCUCCUGCUCUUCCCACCUCCUUUUCUUCUCUCUCUCUCUCUCAGGUUUUUAAAUUUCUAUUUCCAGUUCUGCCACCAAAAAUAGAUUGCAAAUAUAUUCUGCAUAAUUCCGAGGCUACACUAUAAAUGUUGGAGUGCUACUACUUGUAUAAUAGUCACAAAUGAACGCACGAGUGGGCAC